GACUCAGAACUCCACAUUAAUGCAUUGGGGCCGCUGAGUACAUAUGCGCAUAGGGCUUUUGCUUCCUCCGUUCCCAAUCUCAAAAUCUACACAUUGCAGCUUCAUAUUCAAACACGAAGGAGCCUUCUCUCUCUCUCUCUCUCUCUCGAUCAUUUCAGGGAUGGCUGAACCAAUUCCAUUUGCUGUUACUUCAAAUCUCAUUCACAGGUUAGCUUCCGCAGAUUUUCUUGAAUUUGGACAGGAGUAUGCUGAGUAUGGUGUGAUGGAAGAGUUAGAAGAGCUUAAGAACACUAUUGAAUCCAUCAAUGGUAAGCUCCUUGAUGCCGACGAUAAACAAGAGCAAGACGAUGAUGUGCGAGUUUGGAUCAGAAGGUUCAAAAAAGUACUCCAUGCUGCAGAUGACUUCAUAGAUGACCUUGCUAUCGAAUUUAGGAGAGACAACAUGGGUGCAGCCGAAGGAAAAGAAGUAAACAGGGUACUUCGUUCCAUUUCAUCUUCAAAUCAACUUCCUUUAUACAGUGAAAUGCGUGACAAAAUUAAAGUAAUACGAGAAAGUUUUAACGAUGUAGUGAAAGAAAUGAAGGAUUUGAAUUUAAUCUCAAAUUCUAUGCUGGUUAAGCGAAGUGAAUGCAGGGAAACAGAUUCUUUUGUGAUAGAAUCUGAUAUCAUUGGAAGAGAUGAUAGUAAAGAGGAGAUUAUCAGUCUGUUGAUACAACCUCAUGAAAACCAAAAAGUUUCUGUGAUUGCCAUUGUUGGCCUUGGUGGUUUGGGGAAGACAGCUCUUGCUCAAUUGGUGUAUAAGGAAUUGGAAGAGCAGAAUUAUUUUGAAAUGCAAAUGUGGGUGUGUGUCUCUGAUAAGUUUGAUGUUAAAACUAUUCUGAAGAAAAUAUUAGAAUCAAUUCAUGAUGGCCAAAGACAGGACCAAUCAUUAGAGAAGUUGCAAAAAGAGCUUCGUAGAAGUUUAAGUGGUAAGAAAUAUUUGUUGGUCUUGGAUGACAUUUGGAAUAAGAGUCAUAAAAAGUGGGCUGAAUUGAGAAAGUACCUGAUGUGUGGUGCUCAAGAUAGCAAGAUUUUAGUGACAACUCGAAGUAAAAAUGUAGCAAAGGUAAUGACUGCUAGCACUUCCUAUCCUUUGAAAGGUUUGACUGAUGAAGAAUCUUGGAGUUUGUUGAAGAACAUUGCAUUUGAGGAUGAUUCCAAAGUCAAUCGAAAUCUAGAAUCAAUUGGGAAAGAAAUAGCCAAAAAAUGCAAAGGGGUUCCACUAGCAGUUAAAUCGCUGGGAGGCCUGUUACUAGGACAAAACCAAGAAAGUGGAUGGGAGAAUGUUUUACACGGUGACUUCUGGAAAUUAUGUGAAGAGCAAGAUAGUGUUAUGCCAAUUCUAAAACUCAGUUACCACAACUUGUCAUCAGACAUGAGACAAUGUUUUGCUUUUUGCUCUUUGUACCCCAAGGAUUCAGAAAUUCCGAAGGAUGAGUUGAUUCAGUUAUGGAUGGCACAGGGUUACCUUAAAUGUUCAACUGAGAAACAGUGCAUGGAGGAUGUGGGUAAUCAAUUUGUAAAGAUGCUUUUGAUGAACUCAUUCUUUCAAGAUGCAGAACGAUGAAUAUGGUGAGAUCAUUAGUUUCAAAAUGCAUGAUUUAAUGCAUGAUCUUGCAAUGCUAGUAGCUGGCAAUGAUUAUUGUUACUUGAAUAGUAAGGCAGAAAAAGUUGAAGGUAGACCCAUGCACGUGUCAUUGGAAUCUGAUGAGACCAUUCAUCUGUUGAAAUCAUUAGAUCCGAGCAGGCUGCGAACUUUGAUUUUGCCGGAUGACUUGGAAGAGGAGGAAUAUUUGUCGGUUAUUGCAAAGUUCAAAUACUUACGUGCCUUGAGUAUGCAUCAUCUCUCUGAUUACACUGAACAUUCGAAGCAUUUAAGAUACCUUGUUUUAAGGCGACAAACAAGUCUUCCCAAAUCGAUAAGCAAUCUUGUUUUCCUACAAACAUUAAAAUUGUGGGAGUGCGACGAAGAAUCAUUUUCAGAAGUAGUCACAAAAUUAGUCAAUUUGAGGUGCCUUGGUAUUGCAGAUAAUGACUCCAUGAUGAGUGCUAUGCCAGUUGGGUUGGGAAAAUUAUGCUCUUUGCAGUUCUUAUCGACCUUUGUUGUGGGAGACAGCCAAGAAAUAAAGUAUGGCACGCUAAAUGAACUGAAGGACUUAAACCUAAUAAGAGGCAACUUAGAAAUUGUGCAUCUGAAUCGUGUGAGAGAAGUGGCUCUGGAAUCACAGCACGUAAAUUUAAAAGAAAAAAAUUUCCUUCGAUCCUUGACUCUGUAUUGGUCGCAUGGAGACAUCCAUAACAGUGACAGCUUGCAGUUAUUGGAAAACCUUCAACCCCACCGUAAUCUUAAGCGUUUGGAGGUGUUUUAUUAUCCAGGCGUGCUUUUCCCAAAUUGGCUCUCUCUCCUCACAAAUGUUGUUGACAUCACUCUCCUUGGGUUUGAUAAUUGUCGCUGUCUCCCACCGCUUGAACGUCUCCCGUCCCUGAAGUCCCUUAUGAUACACUCUCUGUAUGAAUUGGAAUACAUAUAUCUCUACGAAGAUGGUUUUGCAGUAACCUUCUUCCAAUCUUUGGAGAGCCUCACAUUAGAGAGUUGUCCUAAGCUUAUGGUAUGGCGGAGGCGGGCAGAUGAUAUCAAUGAUUCCCAUAAACUCUCCUCAUCUCUUUCCUUUCCUCAUCUUUCUCGACUGGAAGUCUUUGAAUGUCCACAGUUGACUUGCAUGCCUACUUUUCCAAACGUUAAGGCUAUAAGAUGGUAUGAACGCAAUGGGGAGCCAUUAAUAGCGACACUAAACACAAGAGCGUCAACAUGUUCAGCUGACUCAUCUUCCUCAGCUGCUCCUCUUUCCAUGCUUAAAAAAUUGACCAUUUCUGAUCCUAUGAAUUUACCAAGGGGUUGGAUGCAAAAUCUGACUUCUCUCAAGUCUCUUCGAAUUCAAUGGUGUGACAAUGAAACACUCCAAGAAUUUGAAACUGGGUUUAAGGAUGACACCAACUGCCUUCCUUCUAUGCGAAAAAUCAGCAUACUUAUGUGUGAAAGGCUAAAGGCUUUGCCAGAUUGGAUUUGCAACCUCUCAUCGCUUCAGCACAUCAAGAUCUACGGUUGCCCAAAUUUGGCAUCGCUUCCCGAAGGAAUGAUUGGUCUUACCAACUUAAAGAUCUUUGAGGUUCAGCGCUGUUCCCUCUUACUUAAAGAGUGCCGAACAGAGACAAGUGCUGUUAGUCGCCAAAUCGCACAUAUCCCACGUAUUAUCCUUGGAUGAUCACCGAUAAUAAAGAAUCUUGCAGGUAACAUUAUCUUUCUCCACUUCUUCAAACAACAAAAAUCAGUAACAUUAGUUCAUUGUUUCGCCUUUUGGUUGCGAAGAUAAAAAGUAACACUUCAUUCUUUCACUGUCCAUUACUCAAACACUCACAAGUUCUAAUGACAAGUUUUCUUGCAACAAAUUCUUGGACACUGACAACAACCUAUAUAAAUAAUAUUUUAAAUUCUUUUAUGUACUUAUUUUAAAUACAUGAACCCAAGUAAAAUAGCGAUAACAAUAGCAAUGCAGCAGUGGUGUUUUAACACGAAUCAAGUACCGUGGUGGCCUCUUAAGAAUUAACUCUCGUUAUUGAAUAUGGUGCAAACUCUUGAAAACAGUAACACCACUCUCAAUUUUAACUCUUAGUUUGGUUAGAUCAUAAUAAUAGGUUCUAUAGUUAGUGGGUUUGGGUUGUGUCUUUUGUUCUUGCAUUCUAGGUUUAAGCAUUGUGUUUUGUACCCUACAGUGCUUCAACUUCUUCUGAACUAGUAAAGUUUGCACUUUUUUUGAAAUCUGAUUGUUUUUGUUGUUUUAAUCCAAAUGGGGAGUUCAAAUUGUAAUGGCUGCAGAUUGUGGGUGGAUGACAUUUAUUGGACCCAUUUUAAGUUCCUUCAUUUUGUGCAAUUUCUCUAUGUUGGUUAUGAUCAAGGCCUUGUGAGUUCUUU